AAGCUUCUCUCUCUGUGAACUGCAGUCCAGAAAGAGUUAGCAGGUGGGGAUAGAGAAAAGGGGAGAGGCAUCCCUGGUCUGACAGCCAGGGACAACUGGCCACUGCUCUACAGAGGGAAAGACGCUGGCUGAGCAGGCAGCAGCCCGGAGGAGCCAUGGCCCAGCAAGAAGAAGAAGAAGAAGUGACCCUGGGGAAGAUGGACUCCCGGGACCCCCUCACCAAAGACAUUGACUUGGUGGAAAGGGACCCCAAGCAGAUCAACCAAGAGGUGAUAAAGGUAGACUUUGAAGACGUGAUCGCCGAGCCAGAGGGCACCCACAGCUUCGACGGGGUGUGGAAGGCCAGCAACACCACCUUCACUGUCAGCAAGUACUGGUGCUACCGGAUCCUGUCGGGGGCCCUGGGUGUGCCGCUCGCCUUGCUCUGGGGCUUCCUCUUUGCCUGUGUCUCCUUCUGCCACAUCUGGGGGGCUGUGCCGUGCAUCAAGAGCUACCUCAUAGAGGUGCAGUGCUGUGGCCGUUGUUACGCCCUCUGCAUACGCACCUUCUGCGACCCGCUCUUCGAAGCCGUGGGGAAGGUCUGCGGCGACAUCCGAGUGGCCCUGCGCAAGGAACGUGCCAAGGACUGAAGCUUUGUUUUGGACCAGGACCGGACCCUGGUGUUCAGUUAUCUUCUUCCACUCGUCUCCCCAAGUUGGGCUAGGAGCCCAGCUAGAAUCCUGGUUUCCAAAGCUUACACAUGAAGUGGAGAGCUGUCUGGCCGAUGGACCUAUGCCUUCACUCCCUGUCCCUACAAAUCACUCCAUCCCCUUUUGAGAGCCCUGUGGUCAUGCUGUGGAAAAUCCAAAUGAAAUCCAAACUAGUGACCUGUGGUGGAAAAUCUGAACACCCCAUACAUAUACAUACAUACAUGUAAGUUCUCCUGCAUAAGCCCUAUUGAAAUAAGUGAGAAUUGUGCAGGAGCACUACUACA